ACUGGUACGUACCACUAUCCAAGACCCCCACUAUUACUUCUUCGCCGUAUUUAGCUUUGGACAGUAAGUCUCCUCCGCUCCAGGGAUACUUUGGUUUUGUAUCUAAGCCUAAAAACUCCCAUGACCUUGUGAUAAUUGGGAGGCUUCUUCGGGUGUGAGCAAUGCUGCGAAGCCAUUGAUGCUAUGCUUGUAGCUGUAAAUAAGGGAGGCUCUAGCUUCUUCCUCAUUCUUUUUUACAGAGAGCAAAUAUGAAUGAUGGGUGUCUUUUAUCUCAUUCAAUGUAUUUUCUCCACUAUGCUCUCCAAAGUACACUAUGUAAACCUGUGGUGGCCAAAAACAUUGUGUAAAAACAAAACAUUUCGUAGAAUAAUGAAGCUUAAAAACAAACAAAACAAAGCGAUUUGCUUAAGAAAAAACCUGUUGUUCUACACAUGAGGCUAAGAGUGGAAGCAGGAGGAUGAAGAUUAUGGGGAUUCUCUUCAUUGUUGCUAAAAUGCUAAUAGUAUCUUAAACUCAUGUAUAACUAGUAUUUAUAUAUGUUCAGAGAAUCUUUUCUUUCUAAAGAACAAACCAUUCUCUCUAAAAAUUAAUCAGUCCCACUUUUAGAGUUUGUAGUAGAGAGGGACCUGGAUAUUGCGCUGUCUGAUGAAUAUUGUGGACUAUGUAUAAGCUUCCCUUUCAUAUGGAAUCA